CUUUUGCUUUGUAUUUUGUCCUAUUGUUGUUCUUGUGUAGUUCCCUCUAGUGCUAAAUGUUAUCAGUAUAGUUUUUCUUAGUAUUUUGACUCGGCUUGGUAUUUGCCUUUUCUUCUCUCUGGUAUCCUGACUUGGCUAUUCCUUAAUCGGUCUCCUUAUUUCUAGCGUCCUUAUCUUUGAAGAUCCUCUGCCUAUUCUUUUUCUGUCCUUUGUUAAGGUUCGG